GUGAAGUCUGCAAAAGGGAGCGUCAGUGCUGAGGGAGCUUCCGUCACCUCCCUCAGUGUUUCUGCCCCAGGUAGGUAGCCGAGCAGAAGCGCACCGACGUGGCCUUCAAUCUACGAGGACUGCAGGCUGGUGGAGAAGAGGAUCGAGGACUUCACUGUCUCUCUCUUCAUCAUGCUCAAGUCCAAGUGGCUGGAUAGGGCCCCCAACAAGUCUGGGGAUAAGAUCCCCCUCCUCUGCACCUUGUUUGAGAAGGAGGACUUCAUGGGAUUGGACACAGACAGCAGGUGCCCUCACCUCCAGUGACAUCCAUCCAGACACCAGCACUGACACUGGCCGUGCUCAGAACUGCCUCAGCCCUGAAGACACAACUGACA